UUUGCCGUAUAGUAUGCGUAUGCCGCCGCCUUCGGUCGUCGGUUUUGAAAGAUAUAGAAAUAUCUCCACACACUCCGCCCUCUCCCCCCGCCGUAUAGUAGAGCGCAAUCUGUUUAAUCGGUUUUAACGGCAGAGCAAAAAAUCAAAAUAUCGAUUUUGUUGGCUGCUCUUGCUGUGUGCCUGUGUUUGUGUCUCUCCCCUGCCUUCGUGCGCUCGUGUGUCGGGCAGUAAAAAUGUGUUAAGAAUUAUGUUCAUAUAGACAUAAGUUACCUAAUCUAGUGCAGAUGAAAGAAAGAAGGGAAUCUAAGCAAAAUCAAUGCUCCCAAAACCAACAAUAGUUAAAUAACUGCUAAUAAGAAGAGAGUACUCUACGCAACGUAACGUAACGCCACUAUCUACUCUCCCGUGACGUCGUAUGCCAAUUAGGGGGAAAAACGAGACAGUGCAUGUGAUGCCAAAAAACACAUAAAAUAUAACCAAGCAGUAACACAAGAGACACAGAGAGACAGAGCGCCAAAGCCAGUGUCCGCAGAGCGAGAGAGUGCAGCAAGUGGAAUAUGUGAAAAAUUCAAUAAAAAAAAUUGAUGUGCCAUUCAGGAGCAGAAGCAGCCGCAGCAGCAGCAACCUAGAAGCUAAGCGAGACGCGAGAGUAUUAUCCACAAAAGUCAGAAGGCGCAACAGAGCAACAAUCCCUCCAGCAACAACAAGAACCUGAAAACAACAGCAGACGGCCGGACAGCAGCGGAAAUCUAGAAGCAGUGUAAAUACAACUGUAACGAAUUUAAAGCAGGAGCAGCAGCAGCGGCGCAGUUGCCACAAAACAGAUACAGAUUUCAUGCCACCCGCAGACGUUGGUUGAUAAAUGUCAAGAUAAGUCGCUACCGUUUCAACACCGCCAUCAACAUAACCCAGCAACAGAAACAGCAGCAACUGCAACAGCAACAGCAGCAGCAACAACAGAGACGGGUACAUCAAACAGAGAGAAGCAUCCACCAGCACAGCAUUUGUUGCCAUUGGAGGAGCAGCAAAAGAGCGGCAGCAGCAGCAGCAGCAGG